UUUCAAUGCACAUUUUUCUAAGCUUAAGAAGCUCACAAAAAUUGCAAUAGUAAUUUUUAGUUUGGUUUUUAAAGGAAAUUAAAACAUUUUUCAAAGAGAUAUUCAGCGUAUGAUGCCUUGCAGAAAGUGUGUUGCUGGUUGCAGUUUGGAGGUGCCGCUGUAUCCCUUCCCAUCAGAAGGGGAAAUGUCCAGGAUUGGUUGCUUACAAAACGAAUUUUGUGCUGUGCAGUACGUGGGGCCAUGAUCCCUAAAUGAAUAUUCUUACAUUUCAUCACUUAAACAAUAAUAAUAAUAAUAAGUAUCACAAAGAAAAUAUGAUUCGGUUUAAAAAAAUUAAAAUCAAUUAUAGUAAAUUUAAGUUAAUUUUAUAGUAUAAGGUAAAUUAUUUGGUAUAUUUAUAAAUUUUCACAUUUUUUACAAACAUAGAUUUUCUUUUGAGUGCAUUUUGAGCAUACAAAAUUUUUACAGAUAUUACAAAUGGUGCUAGUUUUAUUAUUAUUACAGUACCCAAUUUGACACCAUUUGCGUAAACAAAGUAAAGCCUUAGGAGUUGUAGGUACAAUAGUUUCUCGUGAUUCCAUUCCUGGUUUAACAUUUUUCUCGGUAUUUCCAAUAUCAAGUUCAUCUGCUAAUUGAAAAGGAAAAUCUGUUCUGGAUAUCUUUUCACCUGUUGUUUCUCUAUAUAAGAUCCAGGCAUUUAUGCCCGCUAAGUCUAAAAUAUUAAAAAAUACUUGGAGUGGCCAUCUCUUUAUCCUGAUUUUACGCUAUAUUUCUUUACCAUUUGGUCUGUAAUAUCUACGCCAAACUUAGUUUUAUUAUAAAACUCAAGUGUUUCAGGUAAUAGCUUGUUACUUUUAUGAACUCUGACGGAGUAGUUCUAGUGUUAAGUAUGGAGGAAAUACAUUUUUAAAACAUUAAAAAUAUUGAGAAAAUAACAGAACUCAGAUGUAAAGCAAAAAAAGUAAAAUAAUAAAUUAUCAGCCUUAUAAUAGUAAUACUAAUAAUCUGUAAAUACAAAAAAAAUAAGAGCACACAGGUUAAAAUGAACAUUGAACAAAUUUCAAAGAAAAAGCAAGCCCAACCUGUAGAUCAAAUGAUGGAGAGGAUCAAGCACUAUUCCUCUUUGAAUCGGAACGCUUCAAUUUAGAGAUGGGGGAGUUAAUACCACCAGUUCAUAUUACAUGAAAAUAUCUUUUAUUUGUCAUAAAUAUGUAAUAUAACACUUACGAUCCAUAUGGUCCGUAUUGAAACAUUAUACUUUGCUAACACGGUGCGCCUUAAGUGGUCCCAAGAUGUAAUUCAUAGAUUGUAAGAUGAAUCUUUCUACUUGUAACAUAUGGUGUAUCUCAAGUGGAUUGUAGAUAUAUGUACAUACUUCUUAGAAUGUAAGAUUAAUAUUUGUUUCUAGGCUUAAGAAAAAUAUUGUAUUUAAGAAGAGAAAAUAAAAUGAAACGGGGAGUUGCCCACGAAACACCAACCGAAUAAUUAAUUUGCAUGCCUGGUUUCUCAAUCUUCUUGUGUUUCUGGAAGUGGUUCGGUUUCUCCGUUGUGUUGUGACCAAUAGGAUGUGCCUUUAUGGGUUGUGUGGACUAAAUUCUGUAUA